ensembl:lncRNA
GCUGAACGGCCGCGGCAGCUGGGAUGGGAGCGGCCGCGGUGUGAGCUGAGCGGCGGCCCAAAUGAGGGGAGCCCUGAAACCCCACGGUUGCACGGCCGUGUCCCGGGCUCGGCUCCUCCGCAGCUCCUGGCUGAAGCCCUCCGUGGCCGUCAAUAGUUUUCGGAGUUGGCUGCCGAGCCGUCGGCUCGCUGAGGGAUGCGGCCAGCCUGCUCGUGGUGAUGAUACCUGUGCAAAAAGUUGCUGUGAUCUCCUACUAAUCGUGAGCAUUCUCCUCUCAGAGCACCGGGUUGCUCUGCAGCGCUGAGAGCCACCUCCUCGCCUCCUGCACGGUGAUGUUUCUCAUUUCACGAAGUUGCUGCGGGACGAACCCGUCUGAGUGGUGCUUUGCUGAGUACGAGCUGCUAACCUUUGAAUCACUAACCAGGGAACCUGUAAAAUUUCAAAACAGCAGAGAUCUGCAGAGAAGAUAGGGCGAUGUCUGCAAUCUUGAAGUGCUGACAGCGGUAAGUUAAGGAGCACCCAUAAUUUUCCGAGUGCUCCACAAACAGCCUGAUUUUCCUUCUCGCAGCCAGCACAUUGUUUUUCUCCUGGAGCGGAGCGACUGUUAGGCAUCUAAGUGAACAAUAUGGAUUUUCACUACUGCCCUCCUCCUUUCUUCUUCCCCUCAUGCCAGCGUGAAUUGGCUCUUCCUGUCAGCCACCAGUUGCUGCAAACCCACAAAGAUCUCAUCUGCUUUUCACUUCCUCCCCAAGCCGGGCUCAGCGCUCCCCUGCCCAGCACCCCGACAGCUGCUCACCGGGCGCCGCUCUGCAUCUGCUGCACCCGACGUCGCUCCGCUGCUCUGUAUCUGCUGUGCUCGGACCCACCGCCACCUCCCACAUCCCUGCCACCGUGUCACCGUGCUGUGUCCCCGCCGCGUGACCCCCCCAGCACUGAUCUCGCGGAGUACAACCCCACAUCCACGCAGUCUCCCGCUGCUCUGCUGCUGCUCUGCCUUCUCCCAGAGUUGCCCCAGUGAGGAGACCUGUGCUGGGAGACGUACUCCCCUGCAGUUUAUUGUCCUAAGUAUUGUCAUCUUUGGGGACCGGCGUUGCACCAAGGAAGUCUGCAAGCUGGGUGCCCCCCAGGUGUGGCUGGCUUAUAGAAAUCCUGAUCAGAGACAUUAAAUUCUGACUUCUGGUGUGGGUCGGGACAGCAAAUGGUAUGCACGUGUGCCAUAGGAACCGGCACAAAGCAGAAGGGUCAUACAGAAAGGAUCAUGGAAAAGAAUGGCUCUCCUGAAAACAGCGCCGAGGGAAAUUUAAGCAGAAUUUCUGGAAUUUCAUGGUUUCACUCAACAGCUUCAGUACCCGUUUUGAUUAAGGCUGCAUUUCGUCACCAUCGGAACCAGCGUUUGGGUUUUUUUGUUUUGAGAAGAAACUCUGCUGCUGUUUUGACUCGGACCGCGCCUGGGUUCGGUGCUGGGAUUCAGCCUUAUUGGCACCAGAAGCUCAAACAAAGCUGAAGGAAGGAGGCACGAAACACUCCAUAAUUUCCUUGGAUCCAAUGCAGGAAAUAGAAUAUUGCAGAUAAUUCUAUUUUUUUUUUCACCCAAAGAGCAAAACCAAACAAAUGUUGGCAUUUUGCUGGUGGCACAACUUGCCUCUGUUCUUACGUUGCUACGUUGUGGCCAGGAAGGCGGAUGGGAGCCUUGCCUCCAACCACUGCCUAUCAGAACGCUUGGGUGGAUGUGUAUGUAUGGGCGGGGGGUUAUCAUGGCUCUGAUGCAAGAAAGCUGCAUUUUUCCCCUGGCCCCGUGACCCCAUCACAGCACUGUGCCCCACUGCCACAAGCCCUGAUCCGCUCACACAAUGCCCUGCAAGGCGCUCACGGCGAACAGCCUCACACUGCACCUAAAUAUGGCAUUUCCCUCCCGUUUCCCUGUUGGAUUUGCAAAGUUUGGUUUAAGCAAGAUGUGAAAAACAUUUAAGAGCGCAGCAAAACUGUUCGCUGCUACCAAAAAUAAAAUAAUAAUAAUAAUAACAACAAUAAUAAUAAUGAAGAAAAAAAAGAAAAGAUCUGCUGUGAACCCAAAAAAUAUUUCCUGUAGGAAAACUUGGGGCUGAAGUUGGUAGAAAGUGCUUCUUAGUUUGGGAUACAUUUCUGUGCCCCCGUGGCAUCGGGGAUCGCCCCAUUGAGAUGCAAAUGGGGCCUCGAAAUGGGAAUGGAUGAGCGGAGAGCGGGGCUGGCUGGCUGCACUGGGGCUGCCCUUCGUUUCCCCAGGUUGAACCUUUGGGGAUGCCCAGCACUGCUGGGUUAUGCUCAUUUCUCUACUCCUAUUCCAAGGCUUCUUUUUGUACAAGUUUUAGCUGCUCCCAUUUUCUUUUUUUUUUUUUUUAAUUUUAUUUAAUUUAAUUUUAUUCAAUUUUAUUUGAUUUUAUUUUAUUUUUCUGCAGUAACCAUAAAGUGUUGCGUUUUGUUCCCAUAAAGGGAACAACAAAAAAAAAAAGGUCAAACUUCAUUAGCUAAUUAAUUGUCAGAAACCCAUAACUUGGGGGGAAAAAAAACAACAAAGAAAAGAAGAAGAAAAAAAAGAGGCAUUUCCUCCCCUCGCAUGGCUGUGCAGCCAUUUUGCACUGACAAUACCAUCCAAACACAUCUCCCCUAAUCAAAGUUCCCCACGUUUUUCUACCUAAAGCCAUGAGCCACGCGUUAAGGUAACGCACAGCGCAAGGCGAGCAGCUCUGGGGAAUGGCUUUGUGAGGAGCACAGAGGACUGAGCAGAGCUCAUUUCAGGGCAGAUGAGAAAGGACAGAAGGACGCAGGGAGGAGGUUGGGGUGCAGGAGGGGAGGUGGGGCGGCCCCCAGCUCUGCAAUUCGUGGGCUCAGCAGCCCAAGGAAUGGGAAGAAAACCCCAAUGUGCUCAGCACUGGUUUGCUCCCGAGCCCAAGGAAAAAAAUCGAGAAGCAAAUGAGAAAAUAUAUGUUGUGAAGGGAAAGGGUAUUUUCAACACAACCGUUUGGGAGCUGGCUCUUCAGAGGGUAUGUGAAUUAAUGGCUGAGUUGAAGCUGGUUUCAGGGGUGUUGCCUUGCUAUUGGCAUGUUAUAAACCAUAUAAAUAUGGUUGGGUUUGUAAAAAGACAAAACCAAAAUCAACCCCAACUAGCACAGGAGCGGGGAGGGGCUGAGCUCUUAUCAACCUCCAGCUAUGGAAUAAAAGUCUGCUAAGAUAUUCAACCAAUUUAAAACAAAACAACCAAAAAGUAAACUCUGUCAAACUCCGGCAGCCAACAUCUCUAACCGUGCUCAUACAAUAACAAAACAACCCAUCGGAACUCAAAAUAAUAUCGCUUUUUUCCCCCCCCCCCUUUUUUCUUUUUUUUUUUUUUUUAAUAUCUAAUGAAAAAUGUUACAGAGCUUCCUCCCAGGCAGUGCGAUACCAAC